UGGCUUGUCCUCUUCUGGGUGGGGGCUCUGAAUGGACCCCAGGACCAUGGACCCCAGGGACCCCCCUGCCACACUGGACAAGGUGUCAGUGACCACUCCAGGUAGAACAGCAAUGGUAUCUCCACAUAGGAAACACCAAGCCUUUGUGACCACAUGAGCCGCAGCGUCUUCAUCAUGGAUGAGGAGGGGAACCAGUUCUGGAAUUCUGGCUCAGGGAAGGCAUAAAUGUUGGCUGACUGUCAAAUGCUUGUGGGAGGUCCCCACGGAGUGGAGAAGCGGGAGACUCAGCUUAAUCACAGACAAAGUUGUGCAUGAGAGACGGAGUCUCACUCUGUUGCCCAGGCUGGAGUUCAAUGGUGCAAUGAUCUCGGCUCACUGCAACCUCCGCCUCUUGGGUGCAAGUAACUCUCCUGCCUCAGCCUCCCGAGUAGCUGGGAUUACAGGUCCCUUCAGAGCCGUGAAGGCGGGCAUCCUGUGACACAGCUGACACAGCAUGGAGCCUUCAUCUCCUAUGUGCGUUUCUUAGGUCACUCUGAGGGGUGGGGCCACAAGCUACCACCUACAGAAUUGAUACCUUUAGUUCAAAGCCAUUGACCAACCCAGGUUCAUGAAUUUUCAGGCAGAAGGUACCAAGACAACCCCAUUAGGCAACUAGGAAGACAGGCCAGGAAAGGCCUACGAUGUCGUCAUUACAGCUGCCACCGUCAGAGGGUUCAUUAUGUGCUCAGAGGUGCACAGGGCCUCACUGGCUGCUGGACAGAACAGGGGCUGCUCCCAGGACCAGGCAGGGUGGGGCUGGAAACCAACCCAAGGCUCUCAAAGCUCCAGGGCUGAGCCAUGGCAUCUCUGUGCCCUGUUCCCCACCACCCAACACCGAGCAGUUCCUCAAAUGGCUGAAAGCUCAGAAAAUCAGUUUUAAAACAAACUAUUGGAGGAUGUUUUCUUAUACCACUAGACAUUUUUUUUGUUUAACAAUCGCAAUAGAUUAAAUUUAAAAAAAUAUUUAGGAGAACAUAGUUCCAGAAUACAGGGAAAAAUAAGAACCUAUGGGAAAACAAGUUGAUUUCUGAAAAGUUUCAAAACUAUGAAAUGACCAACCUGUUAGAAUUGGUCAAGUAGUUCUUUAAUUUGCAACUAUGUGGC
rnacentral:lncRNA from 1 species